GGGGUAAAGGCCUACCAAGGCGACGAUCAGUAGCUGGUCUGAGAGGACGACCAGCCACACUGGGACUGAGACACGGCCCAGACUCCUACGGGAGGCAGCAGUGGGGAAUUUUGGACAAUGGGCGAAAGCCUGAUCCAGCAAUGCCGCGUGUGUGAAGAAGGCCUUCGGGUUGUAAAGCACUUUUGUCCGGAAAGAAAUCCUUGGCUCUAAUACAGUCGGGGGAUGACGGUACCGGAAGAAUAAGCACCGGCUAACUACGUGCCAGCAGCCGCGGUAAU
rnacentral:rRNA from 1 species